rnacentral:rRNA from 1 species
AAUGAACGCUGGCGGCGUGCCUAACACAUGCAAGUCGUACGAGAAAGGGGCUUCGGCCCUGAGUAGAGUGGCGCACGGGUGAGUAACGCGUGGGUAAUCUGCCCUUGGAUUUGGAAUAACUCCGCGAAAGUGGAGCUAAUACCGGAUAGUCUGGCUUUUAAUAGAAGUCGGUAAAGGAUGCCUCUGCAUAUGCAUUCGUCCGAGGAUGAGCCCGCGUCUCAUUAGCUAGUUGGUAGGGUAAUGGCCUACCAAGGCAACGAUGAGUAGCUGGUCUGAGAGGAUGAUCAGCCACACUGGAACUGAAACACGGUCCAGACUCCUACGGGAGGCAGCAGUGGGGAAUAUUGCGCAAUGGGCGAAAGCCUGACGCAGCAACGCCGUGUGAGGGAUGAAGGCUUUCGGGUCGUAAACCUCUGUCGGAAGGGAAGAACGGGUGAGGGUCUAAUAGGCCUUCAUUUUGACGGUACCUUUAGAGGAAGCACCGGCUAACUCCGUGCCAGCCGCCGCGGUAAGAC